rnacentral:rRNA from 1 species
GUACACACCGCCCGUCACACCAUGGGAGUCGGGAAUGCCCGAAGUCAGUGACCCAACCUAUUGGAGGGAGCUGCCGAAGGCAGGUCUGAUAACUGGGGUGAAGUCGUAACAAGGUAUC